GACGUACUCCCUUCGUCCGGAAAUACUUGUCCUAAAAAUGGAUGUAUUUAUAAAUAAAAUAAGUCUAAAUACAACUAUUCCUAGGAUAAGUAUUUCGGGACUGAGGGAGUACGAC
rfam:Triticum aestivum genome assembly, contig: Triticum_aestivum_CS42_TGACv1_scaffold_221987_3B